UCGAGGAUCUUCGGCAAUGGGCGAAAGCCUGACCGAGCGACGCCGCGUGGACGAUGAAGGCCUUCGGGUUGUAAAGUCCUGUCGAGGGGGAUCAAGGCGCAAGCUUGAGUGAUCCCUGGAGGAAGCACGGGCUAAGUUCGUGCCAGCAGCCGCGGUAAGACGAACCGUGCAAACGUUAUUCGGAAUCACUGGGCAUAAAGGGCGCGUAGGCGGCUUCAUAAGUCAGGGGUGAAAUCCGGCAGCUCAACUGUCGCAGUGCCUUUGAUACUGUGAAGCUCGAGGGAUGUAGGGGUCUGUGGAACUUCCGGUGGAGCGGUGAAAUGCGUUGAUAUCGGAAGGAACGCCGGUGGCGAAAGCGACGGACUGGACAUUUUCUGACGCUGAGGCGCGAAAGCCAGGG
rnacentral:rRNA from 1 species